UUGUUCCUACGGGAGGCAGCAGUGAGGAAUAUUGGUCAAUGGGCGCGAGCCUGAACCAGCCAAGUCGCGUGAGGGAAGACGGUCCUAUGGGUUGUAAACCUCUUUUGCCGGGGAGCAAGCCUGAGCACGUGUGCCCAGGCGGAGAGUACCCGGAGAAAAAGCAUCGGCUAACUCCGUGCCAGCAGCCGCGGUAAUACAGGGGAUGCGAGCGUUAUCCGGAUUUAUUGGGUUUAAAGGGUGCGCAGGCGGGCUGUUAAGCCGGCGGUAAAAAUUCAGGGCUCAACCCUGUCGAGCCGUCGGAACUG
rnacentral:rRNA from 1 species